AUAUAAUAUAUAUAUCUGAUAUAUAUAUAUUCAUACACAUAUAUAUAUAUAUCCAUAUAUAUAUAAUAUAUCUGGAUAUAACGCAGUGAGUCUGGAGGAUCUGCUGUCUAGUUGGCUCCACCUUCUUGUGAAAUGGCUUAAAUGAAGACAUAGGGCACUGAACAAUUUGACUGUCAAGUUGAGAUACCACAGCUACUUUAGCUAUUAAAUUAAGAUGAAAGUCAAAGAACCUAAAGAGAGGAAGAUAGGUUUCCUUAUCUAUUGCCUAGGGAAAAAGGUAAGACCUUUCACCAGGCACUUAGAAGUACUCUAGUUUAGGCAUCUGGAAGUGGAAGAAGGUGAAUGUCUGUGUAGUUUGCCAAGGGUACAUGUGAUUGCCUUGUAAAAAAAAUCUUUUUAUGACCUUUUGAAACAGCUUCCCCAUUUUCAAGGUGUGUUGGGAAACACAAGUACAAAAAGCAGUUGAAAUGCUGGUCAUUACUUCUGUUGCUGUUUUUUCUGAGGUAGGAUUUUUUCCUUGUGUUUCUUAAGCAUUCAGUGAUUCUCUUUGAGGAUUGUAAUGAAAAUUAUCUUCACUGAUGAUCUUCAAAUAAAAGAAAUACAUGAUUUGGUGGUGCUACUUGAAGGUUAUGUUGUGUUGUGUCUGUUGCACACCUGUGAUAUCACUGACAACAACUAUGGACAGUGACAAUGCAUUCAGAUUGUGUCAGAUGUAAACAAAUUCUGCAAUACACUCCUCAUUUCUCUUGUAGCUUUCCCAGACUUUUGCUUUGGGAGAAAGGGUAAAACAGACCACAUUUUCUAUUCUAUAGGAAGAAAGUGAAGGGUUACAUGCACAGCUGUAUGAAGCAAUCAGAAGUGUUGAGCAGCACUCAGAUUGGGGGUGAGAUGCAUUUCACCUGGGGAAGGUGUAGGAAAUGGCUUCCCUUCUUCCUCCAAGAAAAAGACUUCUCCUGAUGUUGCUGUUGGAGUCUGCUAGAAGUAAAACAACUAUGUACACAUCCAUUAUUUCUCUGUUUCCACAAUACUUUGAGAUAUUCUUUGAAAUAUGAUGAGCA
rnacentral:lncRNA from 1 species